rnacentral:rRNA from 1 species
GAUGAACGCUGGCGGCGUGCUUAACACAUGCAAGUCGAACGGAAAGGCUCCUGCUUGCAGGGGUACUCGAGUGGCGAACGGGUGAGUAACACGUGGGUGAUCUGCCCUGCACUUCGGGAUAAGCCUGGGAAACUGGGUCUAAUACCGGAUAGGACCACAUUUUGGAUGGUGUGGUGGAAAGUUUUUCGGUGUGGGAUGAGCUCGCGGCCUAUCAGCUUGUUGGUGGGGUAUUGGCCUACCAAGGCGUCGACGGGUAGCCGGCCUGAGAGGGUGUACGGCCACAUUGGGACUGAGAUACGGCCCAGACUCCUACGGGAGGCAGCAGUGGGGAAUAUUGCACAAUGGGCGCAAGCCUGAUGCAGCGACGCCGCGUGGGGGAUGACGGCCUUCGGGUUGUAAACUCCUUUCGCUAGGGACGAAGCGCAAGUGACGGUACCUGGAGAAGAAGCACCGGCUAACUACGUG